rnacentral:rRNA from 1 species
GAUGAACGCUGGCGGCGUGCCUAAUACAUGCAAGUCGAACGGGUAUAGCAAUAUACUAGUGGCGACCGGGUGAGUAACACGUAGCUGACCUGCCCCUCAGCGGGGGAUAACGUUUCGAAAGAGACGCUAAUACCGCAUACUCUUGUCGGGACUAGAAGCCGACAAGGAAACUUCAGGGGUUGAGGGGAGGGGGCUGCGGC